CAGUAGCCACGGUAACACGGAGGGUGCAAGCGUUAAUCGGAAUUACUGGGCGUAAAGCGCACGCAGGCGGUCUGUCAAGUCAGAUGUGAAAUCCCGGGGCUUAACCUAGGAACUGCAUUUGAAACUGGCAGGCUAGAGUCUUGUAGAGGGGGGUAGAAUUCCAGGUGUAGCGGUGAAAUGCGUAGAGAUCUGGAGGAAUACCGGUGGCGAAGGCGGCCCCCUGGACGAAGACUGACGCUCAGGUGCGAAAGCGUGGGGAGCAAACAGGAUUAGAUACCCCAGUAGUCCCUGUCUCUUAUAC
rnacentral:rRNA from 1 species